UUAUAUUAUUGUCUUUGGAGAAGUUCAGCCCUCAUUCCGAGUUCGUGAUGCUAACUACAAGCCAUGGGUCUUGGCUCAUACUGAUGGCAGAAUUCAAUGUGGCCAUUGCACAUGUGUUGCUGGUUUAGGAGAAACUUUCAGUCAUGUUGCUGCCUUACUAUUCAAAAUUGAGCUAACAGUUCGCCUUGGAUUGAAUGUACAAGCUCUUACAGAAACUGCUUGUCAGUGGAAUUGCAAGGUUUCAAAAAAGGUAUGAAGUGAUUAGCUGAUAUUAAAAUUGAAUAACAUAUUUGAAAUUAAUAACAAAUUUUUAUUUAUAAAACCUAUACUCUUAUUGCAUGAAAUCUCUACAAAUUUUUUAAAGUUUACAGGUUUCACGAAAUCUCGAUAAGUCCUAAGAUAUUUUUCAUCCUUUUAUUAUUUAUGUAUAUCAGAUUCAGUAUGUAUAUUCGAUCCAUUUCUCUAGCUUGUAAUGUUUGAGUUAAAUGCAAUAUUUAUCCUAAAAAGA